rnacentral:lncRNA from 1 species
UUUUAUACACAACUAUGGAAGUGCAUAUGUAACAGAAUCCUAACAAUUUUUAACAGAAUGAUAAUUGCUUCUAACAACCUGAAUAUUGUUAUAACUAUUAUUUGAACUCCUAUGGCAGAUUCCUAUGACAGAGCACUGUUGUGAUCAAACGAAAUCCCUCAAGUGACUAGGCCUUGUACUGAUCUUCUUGGGCCUACUGCUGCAUCUUCUUCCUAUCAGAGUCAUGGGCGGAGGAAUGGGAAAUGAAGCAAGUGAUUUGAGUUUGUUCUAGUGGAGCUUUGAAUUGGGUGAUUGGCGAUCCAUGAUGGAGUGAGUAUUCAAUAUUCUUUGUUGUAAGCAUAGCUUUGUCAUUACUUUUAAUUUUGAAGAUUACAAGUUGCGAACUGUGCACAUGAGAAUUAUCACUUAAAUGCAGCUGUGUUGGAUGGAAAGUUAACGUUGUUGAUGUCGGGUGAUGAUGGAAUAUUGGGUGAAAGAGUCUUGCGUGAAGCCAUUCACUGUAGCACGAGAGCAUCUGGAUAUAUACGAGUCCCUUAGCAUAUUCAAAGAGCAAUCUGGACAUAGAUACGUAAAAAAGUUACGUAUGGGAGUAAUCUCCUUAUUGUUAUAUUAUUGUUGUUAUACAUUAGUGAAAUUUUCUAGUAUACAACAAUUAAUGAAAAAUUGGGAUAAUUGGAAUUUUCAAUUUUG